ACUUGCUUCUUUGCUGGCGACCGGCGCACGGGUGAGUAACACGUAUCCAACCUGCCCUUUACUCGGGGAUAGCCUUUCGAAAGAAAGAUUAAUACCCGAUAGUAUAAUGAUUCCGCAUGGUUUCAUUAUUAAAGGAUUCCGGUAAAGGAUGGGGAUGCGUUCCAUUAGGUUGUUGGUGAGGUAACGGCCCACCAAGCCUUCGAUGGAUAGGGGUUCUGAGAGGAAGGUCCCCCACAUUGGAACUGAGACACGGUCCAAACUCCUACGGGAGGCAGCAUG
rnacentral:rRNA from 1 species